UAAAUCAGUUAUCGUUUAUUUGAUAGUACCUUGCUACUUGGAUACCUGUGGUAAUUCUAGAGCUAAUACAUGCUAAAAACCUCGACUUCGGGAGGGGUGUAUUUAUUAGAUAAAAAACCAAUGCCCUCCGGGGCUCCUUGGUGAUUCAUAAUAACUCAACGAAUCGCAUGGCCUUGCGCCGGCGAUGGUUCAUUCAAAUUUCUGCCCUAUCAACUUUCGAUGGUAGGAUAGUGGCCUACCAUGGUUUCUACGGGUAACGGGGAAUUAGGGUUCGAUUCCGGAGAGGGAGCCUGAGAAACGGCUACCACAUCCAAGGAAGGCAGCAGGCGCGCAAAUUACCCAAUCCCGACACGGGGAGGUAGUGACAAUAAAUACUGAUACAGGGCUCUUUCGGGUCUUGUAAUUGGAAUGAGUACAAUUUAAAUCCCUUAACGAGGAACAAUUGGAGGGCAAGUCUGGUGCCAGCAGCCGCGGUAAUUCCAGCUCCAAUAGCGUAUAUUAAAGUUGUUGCAGUUAAAAAGCUCGUAGUUGAAACUUGGGCCUGGCUGGCCGGUCCGCCUCACCGCGUGCACUGGUCCGGCCGGGCCUUUCCUUCUGGGGAGCCGCAUGCCCUUUAUUGGGUGUGUCGGGGAACCAGGACUUUUACUUUGAAAAAAUUAGAGUGUUCAAAGCAGGCCUAUGCUCGGAUACAUUAGCAUGGAAUAAUGGAAUAGGACGUGUGGUUCUAUUUUGUUGGUUUCUAGGACCGCCGUAAU
rnacentral:rRNA from 1 species